CCUACGGGAGGCAGCAGUGAGGAAUAUUGGUCAAUGGACGCAAGUCUGAACCAGCCAAGCCGCGUGCAGGAUGACGGCUCUAUGAGUUGUAAACUGCUUUUAUGCGGGGGUAAACUCAGUGACGUGUGUCGUAUUGCAGGUACCGCAUGAAUAAGGACCGGCUAAUUCCGUGCCAGCAGCCGCGGUAAUACGGAGGGUUCGGGCGUUAUCCGGAUUUAUUGGGUGUAAGGGGAGCGCAGGCGGCCCGAUAAGUGAGUUGUGAAAUGCCGAGGCUCAACCGUGGAACUGCCGCGGAUACUGGUCGGCUUGAGUGUAGUGGAGGUAGGCGGAAUUCCUGGUGUAGCGGUGAAAUGCUUAGAUAUCACGAAGAACACCGAUUGCGAAGGCAGCUUACCGAACUAUUACUGACGGUGAGGCGCGAAAGCGUGGGGAGCAAACAGGAUUAGAUACCCGAGUAGUC
rnacentral:rRNA from 1 species